AUGGUUAUGUCUGGACCAGACUUCCUAAGCUGGUUUGUGAAACCGAUUUUGGACAGCAUCAAACACCUUACUUAAGUCCAAGUACAUCACAUCCACUGCUUCCCAUGUCCGCUAGGCAAGUUUACCUGCUAGAGAAAGGUACUUACAGACAUCAUUUAAUAUGUUCCAGAAUCUUUCCAAGGAUUGAAGCUGGGACUGAAUUCUCCGGGUCCUCCUUUUCUCAUUCUUUGAGGAUAGGCACCAUGUUUGACCCCUUGGGACUGCUGCUGUUCCGAGAUGAUCACCAGUGGUUCAGAGAUGUCUUUGGCUCCUUGGACCACUCCAGGGGGAGUUUCAUUGGGCCUUGCUGAUCCAAACACAUCCAUCUAACUGUUCUCUAACCUGCUCUGUCUUCUAGCCUGCACUAGUGUCUCCUUGUUAAAGUUAAUUUAAUUAAUCAUUGGGUCACCAUUCACCUUUCUGGGGAAGGUUGAAGCCUUAAGCACUGCAGCCUCUUCUGUUGAAAUCCGUCAUUUGUCCUCUCCCACUGAGUAACAGGCCCAGACUUCCCUUCAUUGUCCCACUACUGCCUGUGGGAGUCUUUGCUAGCUGAAAUGUUCUGAUCUCAGGCUGCCUGCUUGUGUGGCUCUCUCCUACUCACUGGUAGGAUGGUGCCCUGCUUUCCUCAUGGUUUCUUUCCAAUUGCUGGGUCACCGAGGGGCUCCUGGAGGAGUUAUAAUGGUCCUUUUCUCUGCUUCUGAUGUGUCCUUUUCAUGGGGUUGUUUGCUCUCACAUACUUAAUACAGUCUCUCAAUUCCUGCCAAAG